GUUUGGAUUGGCAAUAUCUGCAUAGCAAGAUGUUUCUGCCGAGACGCAGACGAUCGCCAAAACAGCAACCACAGCUACUUUCACCGCGAACAUUCUCAAGCUGCAUAAUCAGAGAAGUGUGGAUACAGCUUAAAUGGUGGUGCAAUACGGAGUUUACUACACACAUGGCCAUAUCUGUGCGUACAUGCAGACUGAUUGUGUGAUAUCCAAACGCCAAUGGAUAAGUGUAGAAACAAAUUGUGCCAUCCACGUGCUGGCUCACAAGACGAUAAGGGCAAGAACACGCAGCGUUCACGCACACCUCUCGUUGACAACCACGCCCUUUUGCCGCUUUGUCAACCAACUUCAGUGAUGAAGACGGAUGUCACGCCGCUCCAGAAAGAUCACCUUGUGGUCAUGGCAGUAGAGUUUUCGAUAUCAGUGAAAGUGCACAGGAAUUCGACUGGCCACUUGAUCCGUUUGGAAGGUGUUGCACCUUUAAUGCUCGACUGGCUCUCUGUUCGAUACAACUUUGACUAUUCGGUGUUGGACUCGAAUGCCACUAGCCUGGAAGACUCGGGACCUCAUCUACCUGGGCUCAUUAGUUAUGCGGUGAAAGGUGAAUGUGACGUUAUUAUGGCAGUUAUGGUCCACUCUCAAAACCGUUUGAAGAAAUUAGAAUUAGUGCAUCCGUGGUUUUACGCUGAAAUUGCCAUUUUAUUGCCGGUACCAGAAGUUUUGAACAACGUCAACGCCGUCAUUAAACCAUUUCAGCCUUGGGUGUGGGUGGCAUUAGGUGCUGCGUCGACGGCUUUCAUUGUCACUCUGCUGUGUUUGAAUCGGUACCUCAAAUCGGUGAAACAAUCCAUUCAACCUUCCGAUAUAUUAGCAACUGAAAGUAUUUAUAUGUACGUAGUAGCGACUUUACUUAAUCAAGGAGGGUACAUUUCGUCCAAACUGACGCCGAUUCGGCUAGUUGUUGGAGCUUGGUGUUUACUCACUUUGGUCCUCCUCAAUGUCUACAAUGGCGUCCUCACCUCUUAUUUGAUGGUUACGCCUUACUCACUGCCACUCAUGGACUCUACGGAAGACGCGGCUUAUGAUCCUAAUGUCCGCCCGGUUCUCGUUAAAAACCAAGCAGGAGAUAUUCUUUUUUCGACUGCAGAUAAAGGAUUGUUCAAGGCGUUUGGCGACAAAUUACGGGCCAAUCCCAAGUUGAGAUGCAAUUCCAGUCGUCAAUGCGUGCAGAUGGUGACUUCGCUGCCACAUCAGCACGCUUAUAUCGAGGACUUUUUGGCUUUGAAAGAGAUCAUCAAAGAUGAAUACAACCGGACUGGUCAGUGCAAAACCACUAUCAUGAAGCUGGGAGAAGCAAGCCGGCCUACAGGAUGGGCAUUAAGGAAAAGGAGCACUUACAGCGAGAAAUUCAAUCGAGGGUUGGCUGUCUAAUGCAUUUACUAUUAUCGAUGGCAGCAUGCAUGCCCCUAUCGUAUGCAUAAAAACACGAUUAAUGUUGGUGCUCCGCGAAACUGGACUGAUUUCGCAAUGGGAAAAACAGUUUGAAGCGAACUCUAGGCCUUGCUUCGACGAGGAUCAAAACUACAGAAACGACAAAAACAAGAAAAAACCAUUGGCCCGUUUGUCUCUGGC
rnacentral:misc_RNA from 1 species